rnacentral:misc_RNA from 1 species
UUCGGCUGCUAGCUUUCUUCUUGGGCCUCUUGCAGAGUCAUAGACCCCUGGUUCCUCCUCUAUGGUUAUUUUCCCUCUCAGAAAAGUGGUAACCUCUUGCGGGGAUUACUAUACGAAAAAACGAGGGUUUUGGGUCAGUCAGUUUGUCAAUAAUCUCGAUGUUACAGAAGAGUCGUGGAAUGGUUUAUUAAAAAAGGUGCUACAGAAUUAAAUAUCAAUAUCAACAGUAAUGUGACAGCCAAGUUGGUGGAUGAAGUUGAGCUAGAGCUACUAAAAGAAAAAAACUGAAGACUGUAAAUUAAAUCGUAUAAAAAAUAGGGAAACCACCAUAUUGUGAACGGAUCUCCCAACUGCUUGGGCAGCUAUGGGGAAAAGAGAGAUUGAAGUGGGUCAGCGGCUAGCCUCCUUAAAAGAAAAAUUAAUUCAAAUGGAUACAAAGUAUUCAAAACAGCUGGAAGCAUUAAGAAAGAAAUGAAGUUCAAGGAAUUAGACUUCGGGAAAUCAAGUGCAAGAAGAUUAAACAAAAUGCUGAGGCGCAUGGUUAUUGAUCAGAGUCAGAGAACAAUGUGUGGAAUAUGAUAUUCUAGCCCUGGAAACCCCAGGUGACUUUCUGCUUCAACAAGGCUAUAAAGCAAUUAUAAUUUCAGGAGGUAAAAACUGAAACCAAAAACAAAGCACAGACAUUUUUUAGUUGGCUUUUUUGCUUAGUGUUAUUGUUACACUUAACUUUUGAAAACAUAGAAGUGUAUACAAAUGUUCAGGGUGAAAUCGAUAUAAUGAUUGAGCCAAAAAAGAACUUUAUACUACUUUUGAACAGGUCCUAACUAGUGUAAGCGAUUGAUACCCCACUAUAUACGACCCAGCAAUCUUUAGGCUGCGGUCUUCCAGUGCUGGGAAUUUUUCAUGGCAAGCAAAUACCCAACAACAAGUUAGGUAACCAGUUCUGUUUUAUAUCACAUUUUUAUCAUUCAAAUUGUUCUUUUCAGCAGUAUUUACAUGUCAGAAAUAACAUUUAUGUAGUAAAAUAAUUCGAAUGUUUUUAUGUUUUCGUUUCAUGACUCAUCAUAACGAUUCCGAAAUUGUUCGUCAGUUGCGCCUUCACGGCCGUGUAGUAGAACCUCUAGAAGACUUCCAUAAAAAUAAGGUAAGAGCCUUAGAUCGUGAGCUGGGUUCGCCCGCAGAAUUACUGGAACGUCACCCGUUUCCUGGUCCCGGUUUGUCAGUUGGAAUCAUUUACGCCGAAGAACCGUUCUCCGAAGUUGAUUUCGAUGAGACGCAAGUGUUGAUUCGUUUGAUGGUCCCUUAUGCCAACAUAGCAGCCAAGGAACAUGCCUUGCUCAAUCGGAUUGAAAUCACGACGUCGAAAGAAGAGCGUAUUCUUCUGGAAGAACUGUCCAGUCACAACCAGUAUGUUGCCACGCUACUGCCUAUUCGCACUGUCGGUGUUCAGGUACAGGAGGUUGCAGAAAAAUGUGUUGGGUAUGGCAAACAAAACAUAGGAAAAACUGCCACAUUUUUCUGCAAUAUACUGUACAGAAGAUUCGCAAUUUAGACGUUUUCGUAAUAAUGCCGCGAUCGUAAUCAGCUCUUAUUCAAGGGAGACGAUAGGUGCCACCGUAUCUACGCCAAGGUAUUUUUUUUUCUCUUGUCUAGAUCUUUUAAUGGCCAGUGGUAUGUCCUUGAUGCUCGUCUUAUCGAAACAUUUUUUUACUUUUUUUUAAUUUUUUUAUUGUGGGACUGGAUAUUUGUGGAUCAAAUCCCAUUAGAGGUAAAAAGUACGCAUUAUGUUUGCUGAUUCACUUUAUUGACGUUAUCACUAACAGUUUACAAGCGUUUUAGUAAUUUACAUUGGGCUACUUUAAAUUAUUAUAACAAGUGUGAACAAGUUACCUUUAAGCUCCUGGUAAAAGUUGAAUGUAAAAAUGUAUGACUCAUGGCUAAACGUUAGAGCAUCGGAGCGGUACGCCGAAGGUUUAGGGUUCGAUUCCCAAAAGAGUCAAGUUACAUCUCAAAGUAAUAAUAAAUUCCAUCGGAAAAAAAAA